rnacentral:rRNA from 1 species
UACGUAGGGGGCAAGCGUUGUCCGGAUUUAUUGGGCGUAAAAGGCUUGUAGGUGGCCACGCCAAGUCGGAUGUGAAAUCUCCCGGCUCAACUGGGAGGGGUCAUUCGAUACUGGCGGGCUCGAGGCCGGUAGGGGGAAGCGGAAUUCCCGGUGUAGUGGUGGAAUGCGUAGAUAUCGGGAGGAACACCAGUGGCGAAGGCGGCUUCCUGGACCGGUUCUGACACUGAGGAGCGAAAGCGUGGGGAGCGAGCCGG